rnacentral:misc_RNA from 1 species
GAUGAAGAACGUAGCGAAAUGCGAUAAGUAAUGUGAAUUGCAGAAUUCAGUGAAUCAUCGAAUCUUUGAACGCACAUUGCGCCCCUUGGUAUUCCGAGGGGCAUGCCUGUUCGAGCGUCAUUAUAACCCCUCAAGCUCAGCUUGGUGUUGGGGCCUGCCGCACGGGCAGCCCUUAAAAUCAGUGGCGGUGCCAUCUGGCUCUAAGCGUAGUAAUUCUUCUCGCUAUAGAGUCCCGGUGGAUGCUUGCCAUUAACCCCCAAUUUUCUAUGGUUGACCUCGGAUCAGGUAGGGAUACCCGCUGAACUUAAGCAUAUCGAUAAGCGGAGGA